UAGGGAAUCUUCCACAAUGGACGCAGGUCUGAUGGAGCAACGCCGCGUGAGUGAAGAAGGGUUUCGGCUCGUAAAGCUCUGUUGUUAAAGAAGAACGUGGGUAAGAGUAACUGUUUACCCAGUGACGGUAUUUAACCAGAAAGUCACGGCUAACUACGUACCAG
rnacentral:rRNA from 1 species